CCUUGCUGUAUGGGUAUGUUACUUUUUCACUUUGAGUUACUCAAAAAAUAACAUGUCUUCAGAAACUGUUGACCGUGUACCUCUACAAGUAUAAGGUGAAGAAUGAAGCCUACCCUAUUUGGUGAGAUGCCAUCCUGCUUUUCAUGAAACAUACCUUUUUAAAUUGACAGCUACAUAUUAUAAAUGAUAAAUUUUGAGAUUA